CCUGGUGGCGAUAGUAACAGGGAAACACCCGUUCCCAUUCCGAAUACGGAAGUAAAGCCUGUUACGCUGACAAUACUUGACUGGUGACGGUCCGGGAAAAUAAGUACUGCCAGGA
rnacentral:rRNA from 1 species